rnacentral:rRNA from 1 species
UGGUAGGGAGUGGUCACGAGGGGCGGUAAGUAGUGGGGCGGAAGGGUGGGUGGGAAUGAUUGGGCGGCAAGGGCGCGUAGGCGGUCUGUUACGUAUGCUGUGAAAACCCGGGGCGGAACCCCGGGCUUGCAGUGGAUACGGGCGGACUAGAGGCAGGUAGGGGAGAAUGGAAUUCCCGGUGUAGCGGUGAAAUGCGCAGAUAUCGGGAGGAACACCGGUGGCGAAGGCGGUUCUCUGGGCCUGACCUGACGCUGAGGAGCGAAAGCGUGGGGAGCGAACAGGAUUAGAUACCCGAGUAGUC